rnacentral:rRNA from 1 species
CAAUAGCGUAUAUUAAGUUGCUGCAGUUAAAAAGCUCGUAGUUGGAUUUCGGGUGGGAAUGGCCGGUCCGCCGUUUCGGUGUGCACUUGCUACGCCCACCUUGCUGCCGGGGACGUGCUCUUGAGUUCACGCUCGGGACACGGAGUCGGCGAGGUUACUUUGAGUAAAUUAGAGUGUUCAAAGCAGGCCUACGCUCUGAAUACAUUAGCAUGGAAUAACACGAUAGGACUCUGGCCUAUCUUGUUGGUCUGUAGGACCGGAGUAAUGAUUAAGAGGGACAGUCGGGGGCAUUCGUAUUUCAUUGUCAGAGGUGAAAUUCUUGGAUUUAUGAAAGACGAACUACUGCGAAAGCAUUUGCCAAGGAUGUUUUCAUUAA